rnacentral:rRNA from 1 species
UACGGGGGGAGCAAGCGUUGUUCGGAUUUACUGGGCGUAAAGAGCGCGUAGGCGGUCGGGUAAGUCGGAUGUGAAAGCCCCCGGCUCAACUGGGGAGGGUCAUUCGAUACUGUUGGGCUCGAAGGCAGGAGAGGGAAGUGGAAUUCCCGGUGUAGUGGUGAAAUGCGUAGAUAUCGGGAGGAACACCAGUGGCGAAGGCGACUUCCUGGCCUGUUCUUGACGCUGAGGCGCGAAAGCUAGGGGAGCAAACGGG